rnacentral:rRNA from 1 species
UGCAGAGGGUGCAAGCGUUGUUCGGAAUUAUUGGGCGUAAAGGGUGCGUAGGCGGUCGGGUAAGUCUGAUGUGAAAUCUCACAGCUUAACUGUGAAACUGCAUUGGAUACUAUCCGGCUCGAGGAAUGGAGGGGAGACUGGAAUACUUGGUGUAGCAGUGAAAUGCGUAGAUAUCAAGUGGAACACCAGUGGCGAAGGCGAGUCUCUGGACAUUUCCUGACGCUGAGGCACGAAAGCCAGGGGAGCAAACGGGG